UGACUUCCAGUGUGACUGUUGUUGACUUGCUGAUGGACAGUCAGUUCUCUAGGCCUUGCCCAGCUGCCAGGCUGAGGGCCCACUUUGGUUCCCAGGAGGAAUGAGACUGUGACUGAUAUCAAGGGCUCAGAAGGUUGUGUGCAUGGCCUCUGCUGGCGGCAGAAUUUCAGGCGUUUAGACAGAGGUGAAUGAGGACUUCUUAGGUUCAGGCUGCUGAUUCGAUACAAACUGCCACCACUAUCAAGUCCUUCCAGCAAGAUGAAGAAGCGAGACUGAGGAGAGUUACAACAAGUUGAAACUGAGGGAUUCUUCUUAGCUGUAAGGCUUAAUAAAGGGCAUGUACUUAGCAUUCCCUAAAUACAUAUUGCAUACAGUGAAGAAAUAAAUGAAGAGGAGGACCAAGGAUGGAAGGAAGGGAGAAGAGAAAGAAGCAAGAAAUGAAGGAAGGAAGGAACCCCACCCACAUUACCCUGAUUUCAACAUGCACACCAUCUCCAGGAUUCUCCUGUGCGUGUAGCCUCUCUGAUCACUCUCAGUGUGGCAUUAAGCUAAUCUCAAAGCUCAUCUGAGACCCCUCACAGAAUGGGAGAUCUUUAUAUGCCAUUCACCAGACAAGAGUUUAAUAAGCAAAAUAUAUAAAAAGCUUGCCAAAGUCAACUACAAGAAAACAAAUGACCCCAUCCAAAAAUGAGGAAAGGACAUGGACAGAAUAUUAACCACAGAAGAGAUCCAAAAGGCCGAGAAACACAUGAAAAAAUGUUCCAAGUUUUGAUUGUCAGAGAAAUGCACAUAAAGACAACAAUGAGAUACCACUUCACUCCUGGGAGAAUGUCAGACAUCAGAAAAGGUAGAAGCAACAAAUGCUGGAGAGGUUGUGGGGUCAAAAGAACCCUCCUGCACUGCUGGUGGGAAUGUCAAUUAGUCCACCCUCUGUGGAGAACAGUCUGGAGAACUCUCAGAAGAAAUGGACCUCCCCUAUGAUCCUGCAAUUCCUCUCCUGGGGAUAUAUCCUCAGGAACCCAACACACCCAUCCAAAAAGAUUUGUGUAUACUUAUGUUCAUAGCAGCACAAUUUGUAAUAGCCAAAACUGGGAAGCAACCCAGGUAUCCAACAACAGAUUAGUGGCUAAGCAAGUUGUGGUAUGUAUACACAAUGGAAUACUACUCAGCUAUUAAAAAUAGUGAUUUAGGGGCUGUGUGGUGGUGCACCUGGUUGACUGCACAUGUUACAGUGCUCAAGGACUCAGGUUUGAGCACCCAGUCCCCACCUGCAGGGGUAAAGCUUCACAAGUGGUGAAUCAGGUCUACAGGUGUCUCUCUUUCUCUCUCCCUCUCUACCUCCCCUACCCUCUUGAUUUCUGGCUGUCUCUAUCUAAUAAAUAAAGAUUAUAAAAAAUUUAAAUAGUGAUUUCACUAUUGUCAGCCUAUCUUGGAUGGAGCUUGAACAAAUCAUGUUAAGUGAAAUAAGUCAGAAACAGAAGGAUGAAUAUGGGAUGAUCUCACUCACAGGCAGAAGUUGAAAAACAAGAGCAGAAGAGAAAACACAAGUAGAACCUCAACUGGAAUUGGUGUAUUGAACCAAAGUAAAAGACUCUGGGGUGGGUGGUGGGGAGAGUACAGGUCCUAGAAAAGGAUGACAGAGGACCUAGAGGGGGUUGUAUUCUUAUAUGGAAAACUGAGAAAUGUUAUGCAUGUACAAACUAUUGUAUUCACUGUCAAAUGUAAAAUAUUAAUUCCCAAAUACAGGAAAUAAAAAGAAAAAAAAAGCUCA